rnacentral:tRNA from 1 species
GCCGCCAUAGCUCAGCUGGUAGAGCGGCUCACUUGUAAUGAGCAUGUCCCGCGUUCGAUUCGUGGUGGCGGCACCA